rnacentral:misc_RNA from 1 species
UCCGUUUUGUCAACGGCAGUCUCAACAGAGUUCCCGGCCGAACCGCUGGCAACUGUUGAUAAGGGUUGCGCUCGUUGCGGGACUUAACCCAACAUCUCACGACACGAGCUGACGACAACCAUGCACCACCUGUGCAGGACCCUUGCGGACCCGCCAUCUCUGACGGAUUUCCCUGCAUGUCAAGCCUUGGUAAGGUUCUUCGCGUUGCAUCGAAUUAAUCCGCAUGCUCCGCCGCUUGUGCGGGCCCCCGUCAAUUCCUUUGAGUUUUAGCCUUGCGGCCGUACUCCCCAGGCGGGGCGCUUAAUGCGUUUGCUGCGGCACGGAACUCGUGGAAUGAGCCCCACACCUAGCGCCCAACGUUUACGGCAUGGACUAC